AUGAGCUCCCCCACAGGGCACCGCAAGGGGUUGGCCACCCUCGAAACCCUGACGGCCUGGUCCAUCUGGGAGCAGCGAAACCACUGCGUUUUUGACGGCGAGUCCCCCUCCGCCUCCCGGCUCCUUGAGCUUAUCCAGAGCGACGCACGCUCUUGAGCUAGGGCUGGAGCUCACGGUCUAAAUGCGUUGCUAGCAUAG
rnacentral:rRNA from 1 species